rnacentral:rRNA from 1 species
GGGUUGUGAGGUUAAGCGACUAAGCGUACACGGUGGAUGCCUAGGCAAUCAGAGGCGAUGAAGGACGUGCUAAUCUGCGAAAAGCGUCGGUAAGGUGAUAUGAACCGUUAUAACCGACGAUGUCCGAAUGGGGAAACCCAGUGCAAUUCGUUGCACUAUCGUUUGAUGAAUCCAUAGUCAAACGAGGCGAACCGGGGGAACUGAAACAUCUCAGUACCCCGAGGAAAAGAAAUCAACCGAGAUUCCCCUAGUAGCGGCGAGCGAACGGGGAGCAGCCCAGAGUCUUAAUCAGCAUCAGCAUCAGGAGAACGGUCUGGAAAGGCCGGCAAUAAAGGGUGAUAGCCCCGUAUCCGAAGGUGUUGGUGUUGUGAACUCGACGAGUAGGGCGGGACACGUGUUAUCCUGUCUGAAUAUGGGGGGACCAUCCUCCAAGGCUAAAUACUCCUGAUUGACCGAUAGUGAACCAGUACCGUGAGGGAAAGGCGAAAAGAACCCCGGCGAGGGGAGUGAAAUAGAACCUGAAACCGUGUACGUACAAGCAGUGGGAGCCUUGAUUUAUCAGGGUGACUGCGUACCUUUUGUAUAAUGGGUCAGCGACUUAUAUUCUGUAGCAAGGUUAACCGAAUAGGGGAGCCGUAGGGAAACCGAGUCUUAACUGGGCGAAUGAGUUGCAGGGUAUAGACCCGAAACCCGGUGAUCUAGCCAUGGGCAGGUUGAAGGUUGGGUAACACUAACUGGAGGACCGAACCGACUAAUGUUGAAAAAUUAGCGGAUGACUUGUGGCUGGGGGUGAAAGGCCAAUCAAACCGGGAGAUAGCUGGUUCUCCCCGAAAGCUAUUUAGGUAGCGCCUCGUGAACUCAUCUUCGGGGGUAGAGCACUGUUUCGGCUAGGGGGUCAUCCCGACUUACCAACCCGAUGCAAACUACGAAUACCGAAGAAUGUUAUCACGGGAGACACACGGCGGGUGCUAACGUUCGUCGUGAAGAGGGAAACAACCCAGACCGCCAGCUAAGGUCCCAAAGUCAUGGUUAAGUGGGAAACGAAGUGGGAAGGCUCAGACAGCCAGGAUGUUGGCUUAGAAGCAGCCAUCAUUUAAAGAAAGCGUAAUAGCUCACUGGUCGAGUCGGCCUGCGCGGAAGAUGUAACGGGGCUAAACCAUGCACCGAAGCUGCGGCAGCGACAUGUAAAUGUUGUUGGGUAGGGGAGCGUUCUGUAAGCCUGUGAAGGUGUGCUGCGAGGCAUGCUGGAGGUAUCAGAAGUGCGAAUGCUGACAUAAGUAACGAUAAUGCGGGUGAAAAACCCGCACGCCGGAAGACCAAGGGUUCCUGUCCAACGUUAAUCGGGGCAGGGUGAGUCGACCCCUAAGGCGAGGCAGAAAUGCGUAGUCGAUGGGAAACAGGUUAAUAUUCCUGUACUGGUGAUAAUUGCGAUGGGGGGACGGAGAAGGCUAGGCUGGCCGGGCGACGGUUGUCCCGGUUUAAGGAUGUAGGUGGGUGAAUUAGGCAAAUCCGGUUCGCUAUACACUGAGGUCUGAUGACGAGUCACUACGGUGGCGAAGUAGCUCAUGCCCCGCUUCCAGGAAAAGCCUCUAAGCUCUAGAUUAUCAUUAAUCGUACCCCAAACCGACACAGGUGGUCAGGUAGAGAAUACUCAGGCGCUUGAGAGAACUCGGGUGAAGGAACUAGGCAAAAUGGUGCCGUAACUUCGGGAGAAGGCACGCUGGCACUAGGUGAAGUGGUUUACCCAUGGAGCUGAAGCCAGUCGCAGAUACCAGCUGGCUGCAACUGUUUAUUAAAAACACAGCACUGUGCAAACACGAAAGUGGACGUAUACGGUGUGACGCCUGCCCGGUGCUGGAAGGUUAAUUGAUGGGGUUAUCCGUAAGGAGAAGCUCUUGAUCGAAGCCCCAGUAAACGGCGGCCGUAACUAUAACGGUCCUAAGGUAGCGAAAUUCCUUGUCGGGUAAGUUCCGACCUGCACGAAUGGCGUAAUGAUGGCCAGGCUGUCUCCACCCGAGACUCAGUGAAAUUGAACUCGCUGUGAAGAUGCAGUGUACCCGCGGCAAGACGGAAAGACCCCGUGAACCUUUACUAUAGCUUGACACUGAACAUUGAGCCUUGAUGUGUAGGAUAGGUGGGAGGCUUUGAAGUGUGGACGCCAGUCUGCAUGGAGCCAACCUUGAAAUACCACCCUUUAAUGUUUGAUGUUCUAACGUUGCCCCGUGAACCGGGGUGCGGACAGUGUCUGGUGGGUAGUUUGACUGGGGCGGUCUCCUCCCAAAGCGUAACGGAGGAGCACGAAGGUUGGCUAAGCAUGGUCGGACAUCAUGCGGUUAGUGCAAAGGCAUAAGCCAGCUUGACUGCGAGAGUGACGGCUCGAGCAGGUACGAAAGUAGGUCUUAGUGAUCCGGUGGUUCUGAAUGGAAGGGCCAUCGCUCAACGGAUAAAAGGUACUCCGGGGAUAACAGGCUGAUACCGCCCAAGAGUUCAUAUCGACGGCGGUGUUUGGCACCUCGAUGUCGGCUCAUCACAUCCUGGGGCUGAAGUAGGUCCCAAGGGUAUGGCUGUUCGCCAUUUAAAGUGGUACGCGAGCUGGGUUUAGAACGUCGUGAGACAGUUCGGUCCCUAUCUGCCGUGGGCGUUGGAAGAUUGAAAGGGGCUGCUCCUAGUACGAGAGGACCGGAGUGGACGCACCGCUGGUGUUCGGGUUGUCAUGCCAAUGGCACUGCCCGGUAGCUAAGUGCGGAAGAGAUAACCGCUGAAAGCAUCUAAGCGGGAAACUUGCCUUGAGAUGAGUCUUCCCUGACUCUUUAAGGGUCCUAAAGGAACGUUUAAGACGAAGACGUUGAUAGGCUGGGUGUGUAAGCGUAGCGAUACGUUGAGCUAACCAGUACUAAUGAACCGUGAGGCUUAACCUGACAACACCGAAGGUGUUUUAG